GGAAGUAAAAGUCGUAACAAGAUCUCCGUUGGUGAACCAGCGGAGGGGUCAUUACCGAGUUUACAACUCCCAAACCCAAUGUGAACUAUACCUGUCUACCGUUGCUUCGGCGGGUUCGCCCGCCGAGGGACCGACAAAUAAACUCUUGUAUUUCUAUCUUUAGCAUGUCUGAGUGGAAUCAUAAACAAAUGAAUCAAAACUUUCAACAACGGAUCUCUUGGUUCUG
rnacentral:misc_RNA from 1 species